rnacentral:rRNA from 1 species
GACGAACCUUGCUAACGUUAUUCGGAAUUACUGGGCGUAAAGGGUGCGUAGGCGGCGCGGUAAGUCGGGUGUGAAAUCUUGGAGCUUAACUCCGAAACUGCAUUCGAUACUGCCGUGCUUGAGGACUGGAGAGGAGACUGGAAUUUACGGUGUAGCGGUGAAAUGCGUAGAUAUCGUAAGGAAGACCAGUGGCGAAGGCGGGUCUCUGGACAGUUCCUGACGCUGAGGCACGAAGGCCAGGGGAGCAAACGGG